rnacentral:rRNA from 1 species
UUGCGAACGGGUGAGUAACACGUGGGUGAUCUGCCCUGCACUCUGGGAUAAUCCUGGGAAACUGGGUCUAAUACCGGAUAGGACCGCACUUUAGUGUGUGUGGUGGAAAGUUUUUUCGGUGUAGGAUGAGCCCGCGGCCUAUCAGCUUGUUGGUGGGGUAAUGGCCUACCAAGGCGGCGACGGGUAGCCGGACUGAGAGGUUGGUCGGCCACAUUGGGACUGAGAUACGGCCCAG